rnacentral:sRNA from 1 species
AUCUGGCUGCGACAUCUGUCACCCCAUUGAUCGCCAGGGUUGCUUCAGCUGAUCUGGCUGCCUGAUCCACGU